GCAGACACAUUCCAGCCAAUCAGCAGCAGACCCUCCCUCCCAGACCCUCCCACCUCCUGGACAGCAUCCAUUUUACAUUCAUUGUGAAGCUGCAUUCUUAGCGAGCUGUCCAGGAGGUGGGAGGGUCUGGGAGGGAGGGUCUGCUGCUGAUUGGCUGGAAUGUGUCUG
rnacentral:miRNA from 1 species